rnacentral:rRNA from 1 species
AGACGGGACCCCGCACAAGCAGCGGAGCGUGUGGUUUAAUUCGAGGCUACACGAAGAACCUUACCAGGGUUUGACAUGCAAGUGGUAGGAAUCCGAAAGGUGACCGACCCUUCGGGGAGCUUGCACAGGUGCUGCAUGGCUGUCGUCAGCUCGUGUCGUGAGAUGUUCGGUUAAGUCCGCUAACGAGCGCAACCCUCGUCGUGUGUUAUACGUGUCACACGAUACUGCCGGUAUCAAGCCGGAGGAAGGUGGGGAUGAUGUCAAGUCAGCAUGGCCUUUAUAUCCUGGGCUACACACACGCUACAAUGGCAGAUACAAUAGGUUGCGAAACCGCGAGGUGGAGCCAAUCCUCAAAGUCUGUCUCAGUUCAGAUUGUAGGCUGCAACUCGCCUGCAUGAAGUUGGAGUUGCUAGCAAACGCAGGUCAGCUAUGCUGCGUUGAAUACGUUCCCGGGGUUU